rnacentral:rRNA from 1 species
UACGUAGGGUGCAAGCGUUAAUCGGAAUUACUGGGCGUAAAGCGUGCGCAGGCGGUGAUGUAAGACAGAUGUGAAAUCCCGGGCUCACUUGGGAACUGCAUUUGUGACUGCAUCGCUGGAGUGCGGCAGAGGGGGAUGGAAUUCCGCGUGUAGCAGUGAAAUGCGUAGAUAUGCGGAGGAACACCGAUGGCGAAGGCAAUCCCCUGGGCCUGCACUG